UUACCUGAAAAUUUUUAGUAUAAUUAUCUGUUAAAGAAAAUAUUGAAAAUCCUUCCUCAGUUUAGGCAAGGUAAUAACUGUUUUAGGCAAUUAUCCUAAAAAUGAAAAUAACUAUUUUAGGCAAAAUUAAAAAUUGUUAUCUUUAACAUUGUUUCAACAGGGCAAGUAGCAAAGGGCUUGGUGAUUGAAACCCGAGGUCCCAAGUUUGAAUUCUAGUUGAUUCACAUUUUCAGCUAAUUUUAUUUCUAAAUGAAAUAAACGAAUUAAGUAGCGUGCUAUUUAUUUCUAAAAAAAAAGUUGUAUCAACAGGUAUAUAC
rnacentral:lncRNA from 1 species